rnacentral:rRNA from 1 species
CCUACGGGAGGCAGCAGUGGGGAAUAUUGGACAAUGGGGGCAACCCUGAUCCAGCCAUGCCGCGUGUGUGAAGAAGGCCUUUUGGUUGUAAAGCACUUUAAGCAGGGAGGCGUUACCUGCAGAAUAAGCACCGGCUAACUCUGUGCCAGCAGCCGCGGUAAUACAGAGGGUGCGAGCGUUAAUCGGAAUUACUGGGCGUAAAGCGAGUGUAGGUGGCUCAUUAAGUCACAUGUGAAAUCCCCGGGCUUAACCUGGGAACUGCAUGUGAUACUGUGGUGCUAGAAUAUGUGAGAGGGAAGUAGAAUUCCAGGUGUAGCGGUGAAAUGCGUAGAGAUCUGGAGGAAUACCGAUGGCGAAGGCAGCUUCCUGGCAUAAAUUGACACUGAGAUUCGAAAGCGUGGGUAGCAAACAGGAUUAGAUACCCUUGUAGUC